rnacentral:ncRNA from 1 species
CGGCUUAGGGACGACCCUAAAUACGCCGAUAUCAAUUUGGGGACGACCCCG